UAAUUNUUCACAAAAUAAAAGUAGCAUGUUACUUCUCAAUGGCUCAAAGAAAUAAAUACAAGUCAAGUUACGAGAGUUAAACACCACAGUCAUCAUCAUCCUCAUGACCACCAUCAUGAAGAAUAUGGCCAUCAUCACAACCAUCAUGCAGAAUAUAGCCAUCAUUCAGAUUACUGAGAGCCAAUUUUGUUAAGUCUACUUUUUUCACUGUUAUAAAAAUCAGUAACUAUUUAAACAUUUUUAAAUAAAAUACCUAUUCAGGCAAAAAAAAAUUCCAUCAACAAAAGAAUGCUUCCUAAUAUUCAAUAAGUUAUACACACUUUAACUAUAAAAUAAAAAGAAAACAUCUUACAUAAACCUUAUUUAAAAAUAAUAAAGUGCAUUUCUAGUUAGAUUUAAUUUCAUCACUAAUGAUAUAAAGUUAUAUUUAAUUUCAUCACUAAUGAUAGAUUUAUCAGAAUAAUCUUUGAGAAACUUUGACUUCAAAGAAGCAAUCUUCAGAAAAAGUCAGUUAUCUGAUAUUUUUAACAUUAUCUGUAGGCUAAGACAAAAUUAUUGCUGUUAAUCUGUUUCGACAUGUAUUUUAAAAUAAUUUUUAUAGGUCACUGGUUAAAUCCAAAUAUAAUUAUAAUAAAAUAAAAAUUUGAUCUGACACCAGCAGAUGUAGUAGUAGUACACUGUUAAAGCUGCAGUUAAUAUAUUCAUUAAUAUUUUACCAUUUGCACAUGAUCUGUUAUAUAUUAAUCAGCAUACAGCUUUUGGUUUAACCCUAAAUG
rnacentral:misc_RNA from 1 species